rnacentral:lncRNA from 1 species
UUAUGGAGGUCCCCGGGGUCUUUUUGGAGGUCCCCAAAAUUUUUUUGAGGUCCCUAAAUUUUUUUGGAGGUCCCCGAAAUUUUUUGGAGGCCCCAAAAUUUUUUGGAGGUCCCCAAAUUUUUUUGGAGGUCCCCCAAAUUUUUUGGAAGUCCUUGGCCUCCUUUUUGUCACCCAAAAUUUGGCCUCGACACCUUCUGGAGGCCACCAAGGAGGUCCCCAAAAUUUUUUGGAGGUCCCCAAAAUUUUUUGGAGGUCCCCAAAAUUUUUUUGAGGUCCCCAAGGUCUUUAUGGAGGUCCCCGGGGUCUUUUUGGAGGUCCCCAAAAUUUUUUUGGAGGUCCCAAAAUUUUUUUAGGUUCCCCAAAA